rnacentral:rRNA from 1 species
ACCGGAGAGGGAGCCUGAGAAACGGCUACCACAUCCAAGGAUGGCAGCAGGCGCGCAAAUUACCCAAUCCCGACACGGGGAGGUAGUGACAAUAAAUAACAAUACGGGGUUCUUUAGGAUCUCGUAAUUGGAAUGAGUACAAUUUAAAUCUCUUAACGAGGAACAAUUGGAGGGCAAGUCUGGUGCCAGCAGCCGCGGUAAUUCCAGCUCCAAUAGCGUAUAUUAAAGUUGUUGCAGUUAAAAAGCUCGUAGUUGAAUUUCGGGGUUAGUAGGUUGGUCAUGCCUCUGGUAUGUACUGGUCUCACUGAUUCCUCCUUCCUUAUGAACCGUAAUGCCAUUAAUUUGGUGUUGCGGGGAAUUUGGACUGUUACUUUGAAAAAAUUAGAGUGUUUAAAGCAAGCUAACGCUUGAAUACAUUAGCAUGGAAUAAUGAAAUAGGACGUUCGAUCUUAUUUUGUUGGUUUCUAGGAUUGACGUAAUGAUUAAUAGGGAUAGUUGGGGGCAUUAGUAUUCAAUUGUCAGAGGUGAAAUUCUUGGAUUUAUUGAAGACUAACUACUGCGAAAGCAUUUGCCAAGGAUGUUUUCAUUAAUCAAGAACGAAAGUUAGGGGAUCGANNNCGAUCAGAUACCGUCGUAGUCUUAACCAUAAACUAUGCCGACUAGGGAUCGGAUGAUGUUAAUUUUUUAAUGACUCAUUCGGCGCCUUACGGGAAA